UUUCUUUUAUUUUAUUUUAAGUUUUUGAGACGGAGUCUCUUUCUGUCACCAGGCUGGAGUGCAGUGGCAAGAUCUCGGCUCACUCCAACCUUCGACUCCCUGGUUCAAGUGAUUCUCCUGCCUCAGCCUCCGGAGUAUCUGGGAUUACAGGUGUUCCGAGGAAUAAAAGAUUGAUGAAGGCUGUGUUGAAGAGGUAGUUUUCCAGCUGAGCCUGAAAGCAAAGGUCAACUUUGAAUUGAUAGAGGUUCCAGGGUUACAUGGGCAGGUUUGUUACAUGGGAUAAACUGUGUGUCGUUGAGAGUUGGUGUACAAAUGAUCCCGUCACCCAGAUGGAGGUCUCACUCUGUCGUCAGGCUGGAAUACAGUUGCACAAUCUCAGCUCACUCACUGCAACCUCCACCUCCCAGGCUCAAGUGAUUCUCCUGCCUCAGCCUCCUGAGUAGCUGGGACUGCAAGCACGUGCCACCAUGCCCAGCUAAUUUUUGUAUUUUUUAGUAGAGAUGGGAUUUCACCGUGUCGGCCAGGAUGGUCUUGAUCUCCUGACCUUGUGAUCUGCCCACCUUGGCCUCCCAAAAUGCUGAGAUUACAGGCGUGAGCCACCAUGCCUAGCCUGAUUUUUUUUUCUUCUCUUCUCUAUUAAGGACAAAGGAAUUAAUUUUAUGAGCUUCCUGCAGGUGCUGACGAGAAGAU
rnacentral:lncRNA from 13 species